UACGUAGGGUGCAAGCGUUGUCCGGAAUUAUUGGGCGUAAGGAGCUCGUAGGGCGGUCUGUCACGUCGGAUGUGAAAAUCCAGGGCUUAACCCUGGACCUGCAUUCGAUACGGGCAGACUAGAGUUCGGUAGGGGAGACUGGAAUUCCUGGUGUAGCGGUGAAAUGCGUAGAUAUCGGGAGGAACACCAGUGGCGAAGGCGACUACCUGGCCUGUUCUUGACGCUGAGGCGCGAAAGCUAGGGAGCAAACGGGG
rnacentral:rRNA from 1 species